rnacentral:lncRNA from 1 species
CUUUUGACAUUAACUUUGGGGGAAGAACAAGACAAAUGUACUAGAUGACUCAGUAAUAAAGCACUACAUCUGUGUAGAUCCUUGGAGUUCAUGGAGCAAAUUCACCUUUAGUCCAGAGCAGUGAGCAGUGGUGGCCCCAACAGUUCCCAAAGAGGCAGCACUGGAAUUGCAGGCAACAGCCAAUCAGGGUAGCCAGGCAGCGGGCAGCAGUGUUACAUGCUGUCCUGGCAAGAAAAGAAUUGGAGUUUUGUGGCUGCUGGAUUCUAAAAGGGGUGAUGACCUGACCUGAGAGGGACGUAAGGUCAAAAAUCUGAAACAAUCAUUGCAUGUAUGACUUUCCAGAGAGCCUUACAGUCAUUUUUAUAAAAGCAAGAGUUCAACAACAGUUCAGCAACACAGCAUCUGCCUACCAUCUCCCUGUAGAAUUUUUACUGCCAGUAUUUCACCACCAGCAUUUACAAUGAUUAUAGGCUUAACGAAUUCAUUAAACUAUAUUUAAAAAGUCUUUCCAGA